UAAGACGAGGGAUCCUAGCGUUGUUCGGAAUCAUUGGGCGUAAAGCGGGUGUAGGCGGGCUUAUAAGUCAGGUGUGAAAUCCCAGGGCUCAACCCUGGAAGUGCACUUGAUACUGUAAGUCUUGAAUGUGGUAGAGGUUACUGGAAUUGCUGGUGUAGUGGUGAAAUACGUAGAUAUCAGCAGGAACACCGGUGGCGAAGGCGGGUAACUGGACCAACAUUGACGCUGAGAUCCGAAAGCGUGGGGAUCAAACAGG
rnacentral:rRNA from 1 species